UACGGAGGGUGCAAGCGUUAUCCGGAUUCACUGGGUUUAAAGGGUGCGUAGGUGGGUUGGUAAGUCAGUGGUGAAAUCUCCAGGCUUAACUUGGAAACUGCCAUUGAUACUAUCAAUCUUGAAUACCGUGGAGGUCAGCGGAAUAUGUCAUGUAGCGGUGAAAUGCUUAGAUAUGACAUAGAACACCAAUUGCGAAGGCAGCUCGCUACACAUAUAUUGACUCUGAGGCACGAAAGCGUGGGGAUCAAACAGG
rnacentral:rRNA from 1 species